UAGGGAGACCUAUUUAUGUCUAGACUGAACCAAUACAGAAUUAGGUCAGACAUAAGUCAUCCCAAGGUCGUUCGAGAUUUAUUGGAAAGCUUUCAAACUAAGUCAGGUUCUAAAUUUGGCUAACAUAAAGGGCCAUUAGCUCAGUUGGUUAGAGCGCACCCCUGAUAAGGGUGAGGUCACUGGUUCGUGUCCAGUAUGGCCCACUUGAGAAUCUAACAACUAGAAGCCAAAAGCUGAAAGUGAUAGAUAACUCUGGGGAUAUAGCUCAGUUGGUAGAGCGCCUGCUUUGCACGCAGGAAGUCAGGAGUUCGAAUCUCCUUAUCUCCACCAAACUACUAAAACCAACAAAAGCAAAAGCAAGAGUUUAGCAACUCAUCUAGUCAGGUAAAACCUAAACAACUAGAGAGACUGCUAAAUUCUAGCGAAAGCGAGAAUUUAGAAAGAACCUUGAAAACUGCAUAGUAAUAGUAAUAAGAAGCAAGUAGAUCCAAAGUG
rnacentral:tRNA from 3 species